CAAUCGGCCCUUUUCAGGGCCAGCAAAUGUGUACUAAGGAGUUAAUU
rfam:Aedes aegypti strain Liverpool supercont1.31 genomic scaffold, whole genome shotgun sequence.